CCUCAUGGUGGAGGGUGGAAAGUUUUUCGGUCAGGGAUGGGCUCGCGGCCUAUCAGCUUGUUGGUGGGGUAACGGCCUACCAAGGCGAUUACGGGUAGCCGGCCUGAGAGGGCGACCGGCCACACUGGGACUGAGACACGGCCCAGACUCCUGCGGGAGGCAGCAGUGGGGAAUAUUGCGCAAUGGGCGAAAGCCUGACGCAGCGACGCCGCGUGGGGGAUGACGGCCUUCGGGUUGUAAACCUCUUUUACCACCAACGCAGGCUCGAAGUUCUCUUCGGGUUGACGGUAGGUGGGGAAUAAGGACCGGCUAACUACGUGCCAGCAGCCGCGGUAAUACGUAGGGUCCGAGCGUUGUCCGGAAUUAUUGGGCGUAAAGAGCUCGUAGGCGGCGUGUCACGUCUGCUGUGAAAGACCGGGGCUUAACUCCGGUUCUGCAGUGGAUACGGGCAUGCUAGAGGUAGGUAGGGGAGACUGGAAUUCCUGGUGUAGCGGUGAAAUGCGCAGAUAUCAGGAGGAACACCGGUGGCGAAGGCGGGUCUCUGGGCCUUACCUGACGCUGAGGAGCGAAAGCAUGGGGAGCGAACAGGAUUAGAUACCCUGGUAGUCCAUGCCGUAAACGUUGGGCGCUAGGUGUGGGGACUUUCCACGGUUUCCGCGCCGUAGCUAACGCAUUAAGCGCCCCGCCUGGGGAGUACGGCCGCAAGGCUAAAACUCAAAGGAAUUGACGGGGGCCCGCACAAGCGGCGGAGCAUGUUGCUUAAUUCGACGCAACGCGAAGAACCUUACCAAGGU
rnacentral:rRNA from 1 species